UUCGCAAUGCCCGAAAGGGUGACGAAGCGACGCCGCGUGUGGGAAGAAGGCCUUCGGGUUGUAAACCACUGUCGGGAGUUAAGAAAUACAAGGAUAUUAAUAGUGUCUUUGUUUGACUAAGGCUCCGGAGGAAGCCAGGGCUAACUCUGUGCCAGCAGCCGCGGUAAUACAGAGGCGGCAAGCGUUGUUCGGAAUUAUUGGGCGUAAAGAGCACGUAGGCGGCUAUGUAAGUCGGUUGUGAAAGCCUUCCGCUCAACGGAAGAACAGCAUCCGAUACUACAUGGCUUGAGUGCGGGAGGGGAGAGUGGAACUUCUGGUGGAGCGGUGAAAUGCGUAGAUAUCAGAAGGAACGCCGGCGGCGAAAGCGGCUCUCUGGCCCAUAACUGACGCUGAGUGUGCGAAAGCUAGGGGAGCAAACGGGAUUAGAUACCCCGGUAGUCCUAGCCGUAAACGAUGGGCACUAAGUAGAGGGGUUUU
rnacentral:rRNA from 1 species